UUUUUUUGCGGAAGGAGAAAGCUUUAUUCAUAAAUUAAGGGAGUUCAUUACACAUUUACACACCAGAGUUAUAACACACUCCGGUAGGGAGGAAAAGGAAACACGCAUCUCUGCAAUGCCUCAACCAUCUCCAUGCUGACAGCAGGGAUUGUCCCUGGCCGUCCCUGAUGAUGACUCCUACAGCAGCCACUCCUGUGUGAGUAAUGAAAGCUCCAUCCACAUUAAUCUUGAGCGCCAGCAGCCGCUAGGAAUGUGCACCCGGUCCGGCCUCAUGCAUGCAUCCCUCGUCCUGACCAUCUUCUGCUUCCCACGAUCAUCACCGGCUGGUGCCUGUUGUCCGAUUUGAGACAGUAGUGAUUCGAUAUAUUUGGUGAGAGAAAGCACUGAUCCCAUGAUGGACACCUGUUCGCCUGCUUGCAAGACCCCGUUCCUAACAAUCCAACAUCUCCAGAGUCCAGAUUAGCAUAAGAAAAUUUGAUAUAGUUUCAGCACCAUACCUGUCCAAUAGAAUGAGAAGCCACUAUGGCCCUGUAUCAGUGUUCGUCUAAACGGCCGUCUAAAUGGAAAUUAAACGGUAAAUGAAGGGAAUCUGUCUUGUUUAGUCCAUAAACGGUCGGCUAAACGGUGAACCGUCAAAACAGCCUAAACGGGCUAUACGGGACGGUCUGAAACGGGUCUGGACGGCUUAAACGGGCUGUUUAGGCAUUAGAAUAUGCAUAAACUUGAUUGAAUUUUUACAUGCAUAAAUAUAUAUAUAUUUGAU
rnacentral:lncRNA from 1 species